rnacentral:pre_miRNA from 1 species
AUCGACCUCAAUUCCGUAGUGCAUUGCAGUGUAUUAAAUUGAUCAAUUGCAAGCACUGCGGGAGUGAAGUUGAUGG